UAAGAAAUCAGAGUCAGCAAGAUAUACAUUGGACUUGGAGACAAACACACAGAAUGCUAGCCAAAUCAUUUGACCUAUAUAUGCUUCGGUACACAAAGGCUACCACCAGCUCCAUUAUCCAAUGACAUUCUGCAGCUAAGUGGCAACUGUAACAAGCAGAGGACCACAGCAGCAGCAGGCAUGCAAGCACACAUUCCGACAUUCCGUAGUGUUGGUUUUUUUCUAUAGUUGCACACAAGUUCUGUUCUGAAUACUACUGUAGGGGUGGAGCUGCAAAAUAGCGCUAGGUUAUUUCAGAAUAAAGACAAACAGACAGACAUAAUUUUAGUCCUAGUGUCUUAUGUUCUUGUGCGUGCCAUGUGAUGACGUGUCUCCUCCAUAGCCAUUAUUAUUAGGUAUACAACUCUACAAGCCAAUGCCAAUGCUUUGAUAUUUCAGUCUCUGCAAGUAUAUGCUAAUAGUACCGAAUUCCACUAGAUUCACAUUUGUGCUUAAUUGGAGUCUCGAACUAAUGUGUUGAUAAUUGACAAACUUUUUGUCAGACAUGCACCACACCAAUACCGGGCAACAAGCCAUGUAAUGACCGCCAACCGGCCGGCCACGCUGCUCGGAGCACGCUGCCGGAUCGGAGGUUGCCGCGUGAAAGAAGGCAGGUCGAGCUCACGUAGGUCAGUAGAAUGACAAAUUUCUGUCUUCCUUCCCGCGUGGAAACUGGUUGGAUCUCUCACUUACUCCCGUGCGUAAUCCACGAGCUGUUUGCAGCAUCUACUAGCGGAGAUGCUCUAGUUGCGUGCCGGACUGCCAGUUCAAACGUCAAACAAACAAAAAAAAAACUUGAAGAUAAAACAGGUUGCCAGUAAAAAAAAACUAGAAAGGGUAGAGAAAAUUUUGCAUGUUGCAUGGCCGUCUAUUCUUAUGCACGGAGCGAAAAAGGAUGAAGGAAAACGGAUCGAACCCAGCUCUACGGCCUGCGGUGCACCCAAAGAAGAGGAGAACGAAGGGGGCUAGAGCAGUAGAGCUCGACCUUGAAUCAGCGGAUGUGCGGCUUCGCGUGUCGUCGUCGAUCCACAUCCACAGCGCGAAGGCGACCAGGAACCACGCGGGCGAGACGGGCGGCGCGGCGAGAAUCUCGGCGAAGAGGAGGUAGACGGCGGCCGAGAUCAUCACGGCGACAGCUACGACACGCGACGGAGACGGGAGGACGGCGACCCGGUCGCGGUCCGGCACCGUUCCUGCCUUCCAUCGCAGAUGAGAUCGCUAUCUUCUCUUCUUUCCUUGUCUCGAAGGGGACUGGUGUGUGCGUGCUGCAAGCCUCAGGCUCUA
rnacentral:lncRNA from 1 species